GCACUGCCUUCAAGCCCCUGAAGCGCCUGCGCGUGGCGCCGGGGGUCGGGCUGUAGCGCCAGAGCACGCGCUUGCGCAAAACUGGGGCCGUGUGGCGCCCCCGGGGCGGCGAGCGUCUUAA